UGGGCUCCAGCGUUCCUUAGUCCUCAGCCUCCGAAAGUGCUAGGAUUACAGGCAUGAGCCACUGCACCCAGCCUCACAGAGCUCCUAAAUUAUAAGAGUGGGGAUUUGAACCCAGAUGAGAAAACUGAGGCACAUAGGGUUAAGUAGAUUGUCCAAGGUCACUGCUGAUAACUGCAGCACUGGGAUUUGAAGCACUGAACUCUGCUGACUCCUGAGAAGGCAGCCUUGACCUGGAGCCCUACAAUCCUCAUGAGCAGUCUGAAUUUUAUUCCAAGUGCAGUAGGAAGCCAUCAGAUGAUUUUAAAUGGAGAAGUAAGACACUUGGAUCUGUGCCUAAAAGAAUCACUCUGCUGUUGAGUUCCUGAGAAGCAGACUCUGAGAUAGAGAUCAUUUUGUGGGAAGCUUAUUGGGAGGUGCUCUUGGGAUCCACACCUGUAGAAGGUAAGUGAAAGAAGCAGCAUUGAGCAGAAGGAAGUCAGGCUGUGAUGCAUUGCAAGGAAGGGCUCAGCCAAUGCCACGGGGAGCUUGGAGCCUGGGAUGGCCCUUCAGAGUUACCCCAAAUUGAGCAAGGAGGCUGGGCCUUUCUGCUUCUGCAAUGACCAGUCUCUAUACAACCUGUCUUGGAAAGAGAAUGUGACCUUGGAAAGGGCAGCUUGGGAAAUGAGUUAUUCAUGCUUGAAGGAAGAUUUGGUCAAUGCAUCCAUCAUCCACUACUGGUGUCAUUCUACGAAUUAAGGAAGGAGGGGCUCAGAGUGGAAGCAGAGGGACAAGUUAGAAAGAUCUAGCAAGGGAUGACCCUCAAGGUGGGGGGACCUUAGUGGGCAAAGGUGCAGAGGUGGGAUUACACAAGUAAUCGUGAGAGAAUAUGGAGAGCCAGGCGUCACUGGAGGGAGAUGAGUGCAAAUGAGGGAUUAGGGGUUUUGCUGUUAGUUGGAGACAAGGUGCCCUACUCAGGGAAUGGAAGCCUCUUUGCUCCCCACACUUCAGGACUGGCUCUUUAAGAUCCAAAGGAGAAGCCAACCAAAUGAAAGCAUUCUUGGCAACCAGGUAUUCCUGACCAGUCCCCGGCUCUCUGACAAGCUGUGUCACAAUAUUGAUCCAGUGAUUAAAUUUCAUGCUGAACUGACUCAAGUCCUAAAUAAUGUCCCUGUUAGAGAGCUACUGUCUGAGAGGCUGACUCCACAUGCCUGGUGGUUCAUUAGUGCCUCAAGAGGCAGACGAGAGCCAAGGAAGUGAAAGGAGGUCGUGGUUUCUGCACUUUGUGUCCUGCAAGAGGGGCUCUUGUUUGGGUAACAAAAAAGGCACUGGAUUGAGGCUUCAAAAACUGAGCUUCCAGACAUGAGUAGCAAGUCACUUUGUGACUAUGCGCAAGGUAUUUCCUUUCUGAGCCUUUGCCACCCCAAACACAAGCCAGUUUGGCAGGGAGGAGGGGUGGACUCGAUGGUCCUUGAAGAUUCACAACAGCUGCUCUUUAUGGAGGGCUUCUGAUGUGCUAAGCACUCUACAUGAAUUAUCUCCUUUAAUUCCUACCAGAAUCCUUUGAGGUGAGCAUUAUUAUGCCCAUUUUAUAAUUGAGGAAACUAAGCCUCAGAGAGGUUAAGUAACUUGCUCCAGGUAACACAGCUACUAAACGUUGGAAGCAUUUAAAUGCCAGCAGUGGAGCCUACAGUAUUUCAGAUUUCUUAUAUUUAUUAACCGUACAACUUGGGGGAAGAUUAUUUAUCCAUAGUCAUAUACAGUUAGAUCUGCAACUCCAGCAGAGUCAGUCUGACUCCCAGCCUCUCUCCUAACCUCUGGCUGUCUUGAUCUUGGGCUGGAAUCGAGUGUGAGGCUCUGUAGAAUUGACUUUGGCAUUAUCUCAAGGGAACCAGAGUUUGGGGCAGGCAUAGGGGAAUGAGACUUGAUCCUGACAAGACUGCAACAGCUUUAUUGACAAAUCUCAUCCUGACAAAAAGCCAGAUCUCAUCCUGCCUCAGGGGCCUUUCAGCCUCCACUCCUUGCAUUCUCUGCAGCAGAGACAGCCAGUCCUGGGGCUCAAACAUGCAGCCAAGGCAAACGCCAUCUCCUCCUUCCCAGCACAGCGAGGUAUGGUGGGCAGCAGAGGGGCAUCCCUGAGCACCUUCUCACCUGCUGUGGGAAAUAAAACAAACAUAAGAAGCCAAGUGGUUGCAUAUGAACCUGGCUGGGGUUCCAGUGUUGGUCAGGGUGCAGGAAGAAGGGCACUGGUGCUUUAUGUGGGUGGUGGAAAUCCAUACCUCUGUGCAGGAAAAUUUGUGUAUUUUUACUGAGUCUCUUAAAAAUGUGCAUGCCUUGUUGAGGAUGCUCUCACUUAAUUAAAUAGGAAUAUAUUUGCCUGGAAACAAGACUAGAAGUUUCACCACUAAAUAGUGAUUGUUUCUGUGCAGUGGUUUUUAAAAGAUAUAUAUUUUUUAAUUCCUAUUUAUAUGAUGUAUAUAUUUGUAUUUAAUGAAUAGACCAUUUUUGAGCAGUUUUAGGUUUAUGAAAAACUUGAGCAGCAAAUGCAGAGCUCCCACUCCCCAUCCCAAACCCCCCCACGCAGUUUCCCCACGCAUUAACGUGGUACAUUUAUUACAAUGGAUGAAUCAACAUUGGGACAUUAUUAUCAACUAAAGCCUGUAGUUUACAUUUGGAUUCACUCUCAGAGUUAUACAUUCUAUGGGUUUGGACAAAUGUAUAAGGAUGUGUAUCCCCCAUUAUAGCAUCAUACAAAGUAGUUUCAUUGCCCUAAAAAUCCUAGUCAUGAAUUAUUUGCCUACAC